GACGGCGACGGCGACGGCGACGACGACGACGACAACGGCAGUGGCGGGCCGGCCACACAAAAUCAUUUUCCUUUUUGUCUCCUAUCUUCAAGGAUGAGAUUACAGGAAUCUUCACUUACCGUAUAUUCGACGAUCCUCGAACAGCGACCAUGUAUAAACGAACACCGACACAGGGCCCCCUUUACGGAACUGAAGUAACGUUGACGGUAGGCUCAUGAACAAAGACCACGCACGAUUUCAAAUCUCGUCCCGCCUAUUGGCCGGCCAAAGUCACGUGACGCGGCCUAGGCCAUACUCAUUGGUCGGUACGCUUCGUUCGCGAGGAUGUUUUAAAUGCUACACCAUUUGCACAUGGCUGACAAAGGAAUUUACGCGAGAUAUCUUUUUAGACUUUGUUAUGACUUCCCAAAGAUUUUUUUGACCUCGAACAUUCGGCCUAGCGAUUAUGUUAAAUCCUUCGCUUGAUAACACCCACGAAAAUCUCCAAACGAUCGGCACGAAUGACAGAAGUGGCAGCAUGUUUUUCUUCCAUUUUCCCCCUCCCCGCCGCAAGAAAAUGGCCGAGUCCAUGCACGAAGAAAAAAUUCUUCUUACUCCUGAUUAAUAAAUUAUUUUGAUAUUUCGAGGACCGUCCGAGGAAGUUAUUAUUUUUAAACACUAUCACACGAAAUAUCAUUCACAAUUUUCAUCGUUACGUUGAUAAAAUAAUUGAGACAAAGUCGAAGAAGAUGGACGAGUCUAUUACUUUGUUAGAGAGGGAUGGUUGGCAUAUGGUUAACAAUGAACCCACUACGUACGACAAUGGCGGGAAUACACAUUUGUGCGCACCGAUAUAUCGACUUCUAGAUCAACAAAGGAUACUCGCGACACUAUCACCGAUCGUUUUAUCCAAUUAAACUGGCACAAAUAAAUCUGGAGGAAUAAGACGAUGACUUUUUGCGCAAUUUUACACAGAUAAUAAAGUCGGCAUCCUUUGAUACUGCUGAGGUCAAUGGGCGGUUCCUUUAACAUACCUUUUGUAUAUUUUCGAUCAACUUGUAUAACAUCGACAAAUUAUGAUGGCCAGUAAUAUUUUCACAAUUUUUCAUCUGUGUAUAAAGAUUAACAUUUAUAUAUUAUAAAUUAUUUCACAUUACAUUAAGAUCGACUACUACUUCUUCUUGGAUGAACAAAUACAUAUAGAUUUAUAUAUACAUAUAUAUUACUUUUUCGUUGAUCUAUCUUUAUAUUAAUUUAUUCAAUAUUUUCAUUUCAUCGCUCUAUAAUUUAUCUUGUUCAAUUAUUUGUAUUUUCUUCUCCCUCUUAUGAGAAUAUUAUUACUCGCAUUGUCUGCUUUUUUUUAUGUGCUAUGGGUUUUCAUUGAUUUCUCAUUCCUCUUAUUCUUAUAGAACGAUUUUCUCCUCUGAUACGCAUCAUAAAAUAUAUAAAUCUUUCGUUUAUCAUAACAAUUGAUUCGUAUGAUUAUAUAUUAAUUUGUUAUUGCACUUUGGUUAUACUAUGGAUAUACCUCAAUGACA